UACGGAGGGGGUUAGCGUUGUUCGGAAUUACUGGGCGUAAAGCGUACGUAGGCGGAUUAGUAAGUUAGGGGUGAAAUCCCGAGGCUCAACCUCGGAACUGCCUCUAAAACUGCUAGUCUUGAGUUCGAGAGAGGUGAGUGGAAUUCCGAGUGUAGAGGUGAAAUUCGUAGAUAUUCGGAGGAACACCAGUUGGCGAAGGCGGCUCACUGGCUCGAUACUGACGCUGAGGUACGAAAGUGUGGGGAGCAAA
rnacentral:rRNA from 1 species